UUUACUUUAGCUCAGUCAGUAGAGCAUGAGACUCUUAAUCUCAGGGUUGUGGGUUCGAGCCCUGUGUUGGGCAAAA